CUCCAGAAAUUCUGAAUGGAAUGACAUCAAUGGAGCAUUUCUUUUACUCCGAUUGGCCCUCGGAAGACCCCUUUGAUGCUCCUCAGCUGUCCAUCGCGCAGGCACACGGGGAGCAAUAAGAGAACUCGCAGCGGCGGAGCGGCAAGCCUGAGGAGAAGAAGAAAAUGUUUUAUCCCUGUGAGAGGAUGGGAUGUUUUGCUGCUUUAUGAUAAGAGUGUAUGAACUCUGACACGCUCUGCUGGACCAUGAGAUGGUCAAACAUGGUGGAUGGAGAAGCUCUAAGUGUUUUUACUUGACUAUCUUUCACAGUUCUACUGCAAUAAGUCCAAAAAAUAUAAGUAUAAAA